UUUUAUGGUGGCCGUGCGCAGGGCGUCUUCGGAUGCGCCGGGUUCCUGGACCGGUCUACCAACCUGUGUAUGGCCACCACCCUC
rnacentral:antisense_RNA from 1 species